UUAUGCCUGGCUCCUUGUAUGCCAUUUGCAGAGUACAUCCGAAGGCGGUGGUGGCCUUUGUGGAUGGCAUACCAGGAGCUAUGCAUGC
rnacentral:pre_miRNA from 1 species